GUGGAUAGACAUGCAAGUCUUAACGAGGAACUUCGCCGAAGCUUGCUUCAUGAAGUUCCUAGUGGCGGACGGGUGCGUAACACGUGAGCAACCUGCCCAGAAGAGUGGGAUAGCCUGAGGAAACUCGGAUUAAUACCACAUGUGAUCGUCCCGAACCUUCGGGAUUGCUUAAAGGUGGCCUUUGUGCUGCCGCUUCUGGAUGGGCUCGCGGUUUAUCAGCUUGAUGGUGAGGUAAAGGCUCACCAUGGCUACGACGAAUAACUGAUCUGAGAGGAUGAUCAGUCACACUGGAACUGAGACACGGUCCAGACACCUACGGGUGGCAGCAGUCGAGAAUCAUUCGCAAUGGGGGAAACCCUGACGGUGCGACGCCGCGUGGAGGAUGACGGCCUUCGGGUUGUAAACUCCUGUCAUCAGAGAGUAAGACUGCGGGUAGUAACUGACCUGCAGGUUGAUAGUAUCCGAAGAGGAAGAGACGGCUAACUCUGUGCCAGCAGCCGCGGUAAUACAGAGGUCUCAAGCGUUGUUCGGAAUUACUGGGCGUAAAGCGUGCGUAGGCGGCGAGGUAAGUCAGAUGUGAAAUCCCGGGGCUCAACCCCGGAACUGCAUCCGAUACUGCCUUGCUAGAGUAGUGGAGGGGAGUCUGGAAUUCACGGUGUAGCAGUGAAAUGCGUAGAUAUCGUGAGGAACACUAGUGG
rnacentral:rRNA from 1 species